rnacentral:rRNA from 1 species
UACAGAGGGUGCGAGCGUUGUCCGGAAUCACCGGGCGUAAAGGGCGCGUAGGCGGCUUGAUAAGCGUGCGGUGAAAGCCCGGGGCUCAACCCCGGGUCGGCCGUGCGAACUGUCGAGCUGGAGCACUGUAGAGGCAGGUGGAAUUCCGGGUGUAGCGGUGGAAUGCGUAGAGAUCCGGAAGAACACCGGUGGCGAAGGCGGCCUGCUGGGCAGUGGCUGACGCUGAGGCGCGACAGCGUGGGGAGCAAACAGG